CACCGGCAGCCCAAGUGAUGGCCGAUAUUAUUGGGCCUAAAGCGUCCGUAGCUGGCCGCGCAAGUUCGUCGGGAAAUCCACUCGCUUAACGAGUGGGCGUCCGGCGAAAACUGUGCGGCUUGGGACCGGAAGAUCCAAGGGGUACGUCCGGGGUAGGAGUGAAAUCCCGUAAUCCUGGACGGACCACCGAUGGCGAAAGCACCUUGGAAGGACGGAUCCGACAGUGAGGGACGAAAGCUAGGGUCUCGAA
rnacentral:rRNA from 1 species